rnacentral:tRNA from 1 species
GGGGGCGUAGCUCAGCUGGGAGAGCGCUUGACUGGCAGUCAAGAGGUCAGGGGUUCGAUCCCCCUUGUCUCCA